rnacentral:rRNA from 1 species
CACAUGACUCUCGGCAACGGAUAUCUCGGCUCUCGCAUCGAUGAAGAACGUAGCGAAAUGCGAUACCUGGUGUGAAUUGCAGAAUCCCGCGAACCAUCGAGUCUUUGAACGCAAGUUGCGCCCGAGGCCACCUGGCCAAGGGCACGCCUGCCUGGGCGUCACGC